rnacentral:misc_RNA from 1 species
AAGUCGUAACAAGGUUUCCGUAGGUGAACCUGCGGAAGGAUCAUUACAAAUAAAGCUGGUAGGAAGUGGGGUCUUGAUCUGUAAGUGGUAGGAGCAGAAGCCAGGUCCUGGCCUCGGCCUACCGAAUGUUCUUACAUCCGUCCCCACAGCCUGAAGGGCCGAAUUACAACCCUUGAUUAUCUACACUUGUUGCUUUGGGGGUGCUCAAGUGCCCCAGAGGACCCAACUCUCUUGCAUUUAGUGACGUCUGAGUACUAUAUAAUAUUUAAAA